AUUAUCGAGUUUUGAACGGGUUGUAGCUGGCCUCUCACGAGGCAUGUGCACGCCUGGCUCAUCCACUCUUAACCUCUGUGCACUUUAUGUAAGAGAAAAAAAUGGUGGAAGCUUCCAGGAUCUCGCGAGAGGUCUUCGGUUGAACAAGCCGUUUUUCUUUCUUAUGUUUUACUACAAACGCUUCAGUUAUAGAAUGUCAACUGUGUAUAACACAUUUAUAUACAACUUUCAGCAACGGAUCUCUUGGCUCUCGCAUCGAUGAAGAACGCAGCGAAAUGCGAUAAGUAAUGUGAAUUGCAGAAUUCAGUGAAUCAUCGAAUCUUUGAACGCACCUUGCACUCCUUGGUAUUCCGAGGAGUAUGCCUGUUUGAGUCUCAUGGUAUUCUCAACCCCUAAAUUUUUGUAAUGAAGGUUUAGCGGGCUUGGACUUGGAGGUUGUGUCGGCCCUUGUCGGUCGACUCCUCUGAAAUGCAUUAGCGUGAAUCUUACGGAUCGCCUUCAGUGUGAUAAUUAUCUGCGCUGUGGUGUUGAAGUAUUUAUGGUGUUCAUGCUUCGAACCGUCUCCUUGCCGAGACAAUCAUUUGACAAUCUGAGCUCAAAUCAGGUAGGACUACCCGCUGAACUUAAGCAUAUCAAUAAGCGGAGGAAAAGAAACUAACAAGGAUUCCCCUAGUAACUGCGAGUGAAGCGGGAAAAGCUCAAAUUUAAAAUCUGGCGGCUUUGGUCGUCCGAGUUGUAUUCUAGAGAAGUGUUUUCCGCGUU
rnacentral:rRNA from 1 species